CUCUCUCCUGUGUGGACUGACUGAUGACAAACAAGGUCUGACCUUUGUAUGAAACUUUUCCCACAGUCAAAGUACUUAUGGGGUCUCUCUCCUGUGUGGCUUUUCUUAAGUGACUUUUGUGUUGACUUUGAAUUGAAACAUUUCCCUUCAGCUCCUCCCACAAAGUUCCCCU